rnacentral:rRNA from 1 species
AUUGAACGCUGGCGGAACGCUUUACACAUGCAAGUCGAACGGCAGCACGGACUUCGGUCUGGUGGCGAGUGGCGAACGGGUGAGUAAUGUAUCGGAACGUGCCCAGUCGUGGGGGAUAACGUAGUGAAAAUUACGCUAAUACCGCAUACGAUCUAUGGAUGAAAGCGGGGGAUCGCAAGACCUCGCGCGAUUGGAGCGGCCGAUAUCAGAUUAGGUAGUUGGUGGGGUAAAGGCCCACCAAGCCAACGAUCUGUAGCUGGUCUGAGAGGACGACCAGCCACACCGGAACUGAGACACGGUCCAGACUCCUACGGGAGGCAGCAGUGGGGAAUUUUGGACAAUGGGCGAAAGCCUGAUCCAGCCAUUCCGCGUGCAGGAUGAAGGCCCUCGGGUUGUAAACUGCUUUUGUACAGAACGAAAAGGUUUCUACUAAUACUAGGAGCUCAUGACGGUACUGUAAGAAUAAGCACCGGCUAACUACGUGCCAGCCGCCGCUGUAA